rnacentral:piRNA from 1 species
UAGGAUGAGGUGUUUAAUUUUAAUUGA